GCCUCCGUGGAUCGGCGGUAGAUCACCCUGACAUUGUACGUUGUCGAUAUCCCCUCUGCAUAGGGAACCGUGGGUUCGACUCCCACCAGAGGCA